GAAAUUCUCAGAGUAAAAUUACAUUUGAUGUCUGAAGCAGGCGGGUGUUAAUAAACACACAAAAAAUAACUAAUAAAAGCCAGGAGCAGCUGUCAAAUCUGCAGCAAUUCUUUGUUCAUUUUUUAAUUUGUUCUACCUCAUCAGGAGGAAAAAUGAAGAACAAGCUGUAUUUUACUGUGUGCUUCUGAAGGCAAAGAGUAACAGGGAAAUGAACUACAGGAUAAUGGAUGCGGGGAUGCAGAAUGACAGAUUGUUACCUAAGAGGAGUGAUCAGAGACGUUGGGAUAAAGAAUGAAGUUCUUGGGAAGUGAUGAAUUUAGCUAUUAUUGAACACCAGAACCAUAUAGCAACAUCUAAGCAAUCUUAUCUCACUGCAAGAAAGUCUCUGCAAUGGCAAAUUCCAGAACAACAGUGGCCUCUUUCAUCAAGAAUUCUGCCAAAGGACUUGUACAAAACCCACAUUCUGGCUCUCCACACUACGCAGAUGGCUUGGCUGGCUGGAAUGAAAGUGAAGAUGACAAGAUUUUGGUCUCUGGAGAGAGAAGAUCUCAUUGUAAGAUUGGAUGUUGCACCAUCUCCACCACUGUGGACAAGGUUUUACCAUAUUUGACCUGAGAAUACCUGAAAACAAACAUGAAGGAAUAAUCUAUGCCUUCAUCACCAACCUUCCACAGAGGACACCCAACAAACCAUAGAGGAAAGAAGAAAAAGUAAAGGACGCAUUCUUUAACUGUUUGCACAUAAUAUUCUUACAAACUAUUGCUCUGAUCCAUCUAUAGCACCAAAGAAAGGGCUUUGUUAUCUACUUCCAUUCAUAAAAGAAACAUCUCAGUUAACCUGAAUUUAUGAGCUACAGACAUCACAGCCUUUCAGAAGAGAAAGCAUUGAUGUCACAUGCAGUGAUGAUGUCACAGAAAAUAUCUCUGCCUUCUGAAAUUGAGGAGAUUGCAUCCAGCUUCUCUCCUGAGUGAUCUUCAGUGAAGAUAAGUUUAGGAACUGAUCUCCAAGUUGUUUUGGACAAGUUCAGAAGCUUACUGAGGCCUUAAAAUUAUAAUUUUGUUUCAUUUGGGUUGCUUUUGAACAAAAGUGUAAGGGUCACUGGAAGACAGGACACAACCUGCUGAGAUGCAACGAAGACAGUGUUCUACAGAUGAGUAUGUGCACAGAUAUAUAUUAAACAAACAGAUAUAUAUUAAAUAAACAAUCAAACAAACAGAAUAUCA
rnacentral:lncRNA from 1 species